CUCUGAGGGAGCUGGGAGUCUAGAAGAUCACACAGCAGGACUGGCUGGCCUAGGAAGGCUCAGCACUGGGAGGAAGAAGCAGAGAAAUAGACUUGUGGGCGCCCUGUGUCCUCUGUCCCUGAACUCAGGUGGCGAUGCCAUCCGGUCUUGUGCCCUGGGAGUACAAAUGAGCUCACCUGAGCCAAGGUGACCAGCCACACCUGUUCCCACAAACCCAGCUCUUGGUCUCCACUUCUUGCUCUCCGUGGGUGGUGACUGCUCCCCAUCUCCCCAGAGAAUACAGUUUAGUGGAACUUCUGUGGAUCUCCUCCUGCGACACUACAUAGCCGAUUUACCCUUCCACCUGUACACAGAUGCCUGAACUCACUGCUCUGCUUCCUAUCUGGGCAGGUUCUGGAAUCAGCCUGCAUGUUGUUUUCUUGACUUUUUUCCUGCUAUAUCCACUAGAGAGGGGACUGACUCAAUGGACCAGAUUCCAGAUUCCCAGCAUCAUUGCAGGUAGAUGAUUCUGCCCAAAGGGGAGCACUACUGUGCUGUGUUCUGAGAGGGAACAUCUUAGGUUAAGUACUGUUUCUGCAAAAGGACCAACCAGAGGGAUCUUUCGGGAGAAGUCAUGCAUAGCACUGACUGUAGUGAGGACUUAUGGAUUUAUACUUACUGCCACGCACAGCAAGUUGUAUGCAUUAACUACCAACAGUCUUGUGUGUCCAUCACACCCUCGCGAAGCGUUUCUUUGAAAUGUUCAAGACGUGUGAAGCAAUCUCUCUUCUUGGUUAAAUCCCAAACAAUUAGUUUUUUAGAAAUAAAUGUAAGGUUUACCUUUCACCUUCUGAUUACAUUAUGAUAACCUUCAGACCCCCUCAAAAGUGAUUCUGCUUUUUGAACUGCUUGGAGAUCUGAAGAGUCAUAAUAUGAAUUCCUUGGUCCAUUGCCACACCAUUGUUGGUGCUGUCAGCCAUUGCUUCCCUCCCACCCCAUCCCCGUCAAGAUCCAAUAAAUGUUUUCCUUGACUUGGCAACA